rnacentral:misc_RNA from 1 species
GAUGAAGAACGUAGCGAAAUGCGAUAAGUAAUGUGAAUUGCAGAAUUCAGUGAAUCAUCGAAUCUUUGAACGCACAUUGCGCCCGCCAGCAUUCUGGCGGGCAUGCCUGUUCGAGCGUCAUUUCAACCCUCGAGCCCCCCCGGGGGCCUCGGUGUUGGGGGACGGCACACCAGCCGCCCCCGAAAUGCAGUGGCGACCCCGCCGCAGCCUCCCCUGCGUAGUAGCACACACCUCGCACCGGAGCGCGCAGGCGGUCACGCCGUAAAACGCCCAACUUUCUUAGAGUUGACCUCGGAUCAGGUAGGAAUACCCGCUGAACUUAAGCAUAUCAAUAAGCGGAGGA